CCUACGGGAGGCAGCAGUGGGGAAUAUUGGGCAAUGGGCGCAAGCCUGACCCAGCAACGCCGCGUGAAGGAAGAAGGCCCUCGGGUUGUAAACUUCUUUUAUCAGGGACGAAACAAAUGACGGUACCUGAUGAAUAAGCCACGGCUAACUACGUGCCAGCAGCCGCGGUAAUACGUAGGUGGCAAGCGUUCUCCGGAUGUACUGGGUGUAAAGGGCGUGUAGGCGGGAGAGCAAGUCAGACGUGAAAUGCCAGGGCUCAACCCUGGAACUGCGUUUGAAACUGUUCUGCUUGAGUGAUGGAGAGGCAGGCGGAAUUCCGGGUGUAGCGGUGAAAUGCGUAGAUAUACGGAGGAACACCAGUGGCGAAGGCGGCCUGCUGGACAGUAACUGACGUUGAGGCACGAAAGCGUGGGGAGCAAACAGGAUUAGAUACCCCUGUAGUC
rnacentral:rRNA from 1 species